ACGGAAGGCAGCAGUGAGGAAUAUUGGUCAAUGGACGGAAGUCUGAACCAGCCAAGUAGCGUGCAGGAUGACGGCCCUAUGGGUUGUAAACUGCUUUUGUCAGGGGCUAUAGGCAUCCACGUGUGGGUGUAGGAAUGUACCUGAAGAAUAAGCAUCGGCUAACUCCGUGCCAGCAGCCGCGGUAAUACGGAGGAUGCAAGCGUUAUCCGGAUUUAUUGGGUUUAAAGGGUGCGCAGGCGGACCGGUAAGUCAGUGGUGAAAUCCACAUGCCCAACAUGUGAAGUGCCAUUGAUACUGUCGGACUAGUAUGCAAGGGGCGCGGCCGGAAUGUGGUGUGUAGCGGUGAAAUGCUUAGAUAUGCCACAGAACGCCGAUCGUGAAGACAGGUCGCGAACUUGCCAUAGACGCUCAAGCACGAAAGCGUGGGGAUCAAACAGGAUUAGAUACCCUGGUA
rnacentral:rRNA from 1 species